rnacentral:rRNA from 1 species
CCUACGGGAGGCAGCAGUGGGGAAUAUUGCACAAUGGGGGGAACCCUGAUGCAGCGACGCCGCGUGAGUGAAGAAGUAUUUCGGUAUGUACAGCUCUAUCAGCAGGGAAGAAAAUGACGGUACCUGACUAAGAAGCCCCGGCUAACUACGUGCCAGCAGCCGCGGUAAUACGUAGGGGGCAAGCGUUAUCCGGAUUUACUGGGUGUAAAGGGGGCGCAGACGGCUGUGCAAGUCUGGAGUGAAAGGCGGGGGCCCAACCCCCGGACUGCUCUGGAAACUGUAAAGCUGGAGUGCAGGAGAGGUAAGCGGAAUUCCUAGUGUAGCAGUGAAAUGCGUAGAUAUUAGGAGGAACACCAGUGGCGAAGGCGGCUUACUGGACUGCAACUGACGUUGAGGCUCGAAAGCGUGGGGAGCAAACAGGAUUAGAGACCCCUGUAGUC